AUACGGAGGAUCCGAGCGUUAUCCGGAUUUAUUGGGUUUAAAGGGAGCGUAGGCGGACGCUUAAGUCAGUUGUGAAAGUUUGCGGCUCAACCGUAAAAUUGCAGUUGAUACUGGUUUCCUUGAGUACGUUACAGGUGGGCGGAAUUCGUGGUGUAGCGGUGAAAUGCUUAGAUAUCACGAAGAACUCCGAUCGCGAAGGCAGCUCACCGGGCCGGAACUGACACUGAUGCUCGAAAGUGCGGGUAUCAAACAGGAUUAGAUACCCUGGUAGUCCGCACAGUAAACGAUGAAUACUCGCUGUUUGCGAUACACUGUAAGCGGCCAAGCGAAAGCGUUAAGUAUUCCACCUGGGGAGUACGCCGGCAACGGUGAAACUCAAAUGAAUUGACGGGG
rnacentral:rRNA from 1 species